UAGAGGCUCAUUGAAUCACUCAGGCGCUGGCUGUGAUUCAGGUCUCACGCCCGCGGGCUGCCACCGUGAGGUGAAGCGCUCCUUCUUUGUCGUCCUCGUUCUCUCUCUCUCUCUCUCUCUCUCUCUCGCUCUCUCUUUCCAGGAUCCGGGCCAGGUGAGCAGCGGGGGGGGAAGGGAGGAGCGGCCUCGCCUUUUGCACAGGUAUCUUAGGGUGGAGACCAGCCGAAUUCGGAGGGGAAAAAAGAAGCCGGUGAUGGCGGUGAGCCUCAGGCUGGAAGGGGAUGAGGGUUGCUCUCUCCCCCUCCUCGCUCCGCCCCGCAGUGCGCGGGAACGAAAGGGCACCAAGGGGGCAGCCAUAGAUCUCCGUCGCCGUCUAAAGCGGGAGGAGGGGAGAAGAGCUGGGCGAGAGGAAAGGCCAGUGGAUAAUUACGCUUUUUCUAACAAAGAUUAGAGAAACAACCCUUGCUGAAGUCAAGGGGGUGUGCAUGAACUAUUAAGCCCCAUUGAUCUCUAGAUCAGUUCAGAUCCAAUCGCACAAUUGGAAGCACUCAAAAUGGGGGGGGGGUGUUUAUCCCCUAUCCCUGCCAAUGCAACUUAAAAAUCAAAUGUGUACCUUCGGGUUUUUAAUAAAAAGAUUUUCCUUAUAGCACAUUGGUUCACUCUUGAUCUUUAGGGAUGAGCUAUACCGGUAGCUUCAGGGCAAAAAUAUGAAUGUUGCUUUCCCGUAAGAACUCUCAAAUCGCAGGGCGUGGAGAGGUAACAGUUAUAAAUCUGACAAAGUUUAAGAUGCUGAGGUCAAGUUAAAAAAACGGCAGGAUUGUCUGACAUCCAUGUAGGGAUGAUGUUUCAAGUACAGUAACCUCGUCAGUUUCAUGAGAUCCAGAUGCCUGCACCAUAACUACUGUAUCAUCAGCUCCACAUAAAAAAUAUAAGCAGCUGUAACCUGUAAUUUGAUGGUUCCUUUGAAUGGGUCCCAUGUAAAACUCACAGAUUUUAUCAAGACCCACAAAAUAUACCAUUGGCAAAACAUACAUUACCACCUUCUUUCAAAUGCAUAGUCUAUAUGUGUUUGAGAUGUAAAUUAGGACCAGUGUCAGAUAUUUUUUUUCCAUUUAGCUUCUCAGGAACUACUGUACCGCAAUAAUUUGUUUGUAUUUAGAGAUUUACAGCAUUGUGUUGCAUUUGGAUCCUGGAGAAAGUUGCACAGAUUUAAUUUAUCUUUGAAAUGUAGCUUCAAUAAAGAAGGCAUCUUGCUAAGAGAAAAAAGGAGAUGGAGAGAAGAACCUUAGCAUACUUGUGCCGACUGUACUGAUUUCCUGAAGACAAAACUAAAGAAAGACAAGAUCUGCUGUUUUUGUUUUGUUUUGUUUUUUUGCAUUGUUGCUACUUUUGUAUAUGUGUGAUACAAAAAUAUGUUCAAUAUUUAUUAAACAACAAAUAUUUAUAUGUCCAAUAAUUAUUGAACAAUCCCUAUUUUGUAUUUUCCCCUCUGCAACUACUAUAGAAUAUAGGGCAAAAAUGUGGCUGCUUUAAAGAAGUGCGGGAAAGUGGUACUUGCCCCUCCCCCCAUGCUCCAAAGGACAUGUCUAAAAUCAAAUCUGAAGUGAUGUAUAGCUAUAGUAUCUAUAAUAAAGUAAUUUCUAUUUCAACUCAAACUUGAUUUUGAGAGAUGACAACAAAAUAAAAAUGAUUUGCUAUUUCCUUA